rnacentral:rRNA from 1 species
GAUGAACGCUGGCGGCGUGCCUAAUACAUGCAAGUAGAACGCUGAAGCUUGGUGCUUGCACCGAGCGGAUGAGUUGCGAACGGGUGAGUAACGCGUAGGUAACCUGCCUCUUAGCGGGGGAUAACUAUUGGAAACGAUAGCUAAUACCGCAUAAAAGUCGACAUUGCAUGAUGUUGGCUUGAAAGGUGCAACUGCAUCACUAAGAGAUGGACCUGCGUUGUAUUAGCUAGUUGGUGAGGUAACGGCUCACCAAGGCGACGAUACAUAGCCGACCUGAGAGGGUGAUCGGCCACACUGGGACUGAGACACGGCCCAGACUCCUACGGGAGGCAGCAGUAGGGAAUCUUCGGCAAUGGACGGAAGUCUGACCGAGCAACGCCGCGUGAGUGAAGAAGGUUUUCGGAUCGUGAAGCUCUGUUGUAAGAGAAGAACGAGUGUGAGAGUGGAAAGUUCACACUGUGACGGAACUACCAGAAAGGACG